CCAGCGAUGGCCGAGUGGUUAAGGCAUUGGACUUGAAAUCCAAUGGGGUCUCCCCGUGCAGGUUUGAACCCUGCUCGCUGCG
rnacentral:tRNA from 1 species